UACGGAGGAUCCAAGCGUUAUCCGGAUUUAUUGGGUUUAAAGGGUGCGUAGGUGGCCUGUUAAGUCAGGGGUGAAAGACGGUAGCUUAACUAUCGCAGUGCCCUUGAUACUGAUGGGCUUGAAUGAACUAGAGGUAGGCGGAAUGUGACAAGUAGCGGUGAAAUGCAUAGAUAUGUCACAGAACACCAAUUGCGAAGGCAGCUUACUAAGGUUUUAUUGACACUGAGGCACGAAAGCGUGGGGAUCAAACAGG
rnacentral:rRNA from 1 species